GACGAACGCUGGCGGCGUGCUUAACACAUGCAAGUCGAGCGGAAAGGCCCUUCGGGGUACUCGAGCGGCGAACGGGUGAGUAACACGUGAGUAACCUGCCCCAGACCUUGGGUUAACCCUCGGAAACGGGGGCUAAUACCGGAUACGACACAGCUUCGCAUGGGGUCUGUGUGGAAAGUUUUUCGGUUUCGGAUGGGCUCGCGGCCUACCAGCUUGUUGGUGGGGUGAUGGCCGACCAAGGCGACGACGGGUAGCCGGCCUGAGAGGGCGACCGGCCACACUGGGACUGAGACACGGCCCAGACGCCUACGGUAGGCAGCGGUGGGGAAUAUUGCACAAUGGGCGGAAGCCUGAUGCAGCGACGCUGCGUUAGGGAUGACGGCCUUCGGGUUGUAAACCGCUGUCGGCUGGGACGAAGCGUAAGUGACGGUACCUGCAGAAGAAGCGCCGGCUAACUACGUG
rnacentral:rRNA from 1 species